UCAAGCGUUGUUCGGAUUCAUUGGGCGGAAAGGGUGCGUAGGCGGCGCGGUAAGUCGGGUGUGAAAUCUUGGAGCUUAACUCCGAAACUGCAUUCGAUACUGCCGUGCUUGAGGACUGGAGAGGAGACUGGAAUUUACGGUGUAGCGGUGAAAUGCGUAGAUAUCGGGAAGAACACCCGUGGCGAAGUCGGUUCUCUGGGACGGUACUGACGCUGAGACGCGAAAGCGUGGGGAGCGAACAGG
rnacentral:rRNA from 1 species